AGUGAACGCUGGCGGUAGGCCUAACACAUGCAAGUCGAACGGCAGCACAGUAAGAGCUUGCUCUUACGGGUGGCGAGUGGCGGACGGGUGCGGAAUACAUCGGAAUCUACUUUUUCGUGGGGGAUAACGUCGGGAAACUUACGCUAAUACCACAUACGACCUACGGGUGAAAGCAGGGGAUCUUCGGACCUUGCGCGAUUGAAUGAGCCGACGUCGGAUUAGCUAGUUGGCGGGGUAAAGGCCCACCAAGGCGACGAUCCGUAGCUGGUCUGAGAGGAUGAUCAGCAACAGUGGAAAUGAGACAAGGACCAGACUCCGACGGGAGGCAGGAGUGAGGAAUAUUGGAGAAUGGGCGGAAGCCUGAUCCAGCCAUACCGCGUGGGUGAAGAAGGCCUUCGGGUUGUAAAGCCCUUUUGUUGGGAAAGAAAAGCAGCAGGUUAAUACCCAGCUGUUCUGACGGUACCCAAAGAAUAAGCACCGGCUAACUUCGU
rnacentral:rRNA from 1 species